ensembl:lncRNA
AUGUGGCCAGUCCACACAGGCUGCUCCGUCCUGUGUGUUUGUUCUCCUUGGCAUUCCCUUGUCUGGUGGACACUUCAUUCUUUUGUAAGUUUUUCCUCUGAGGUUCUCUGUCAUUGGAUUAGUAAACACUUGAUUAACUCCGAGCCAAAAAUAAACAGAAGCAAGAACGUAAAUGAUGCUGCAGAUGAAACCAGGCCUGGUGGUCUCAGAGGGCCAUGGAGCCAGCGCAGUGAUGGCCUGAGGGGCUCAGCUUGCACUCUAGCUGGAGAAUACAGCAUUUCCACGGAUGCCUUGCACAGUCCUCGGGAAAUAUCAGCCUCCAUAGGUGCCUUCAACAAAAACCUGUUCCCUUCACCUGGGAAUUCGUAAGCACAGGGGGCUCCACAUGGUGAAUAAAGGCAGCAGCGUUAGCAUCCAGAUCCCGGCACGGCUGCAGACCGCACGGCGGGACACGGUGUGUGCUUUGAUUUAGAACCUUUACAUGGAGAGCACCCCCCACUCGUUAGAAGAGACACAGACAGAAAUAAAGGUUUUAUGUGUUCUCACUGUUCCUCACCCGCCUAUGAGUGAGAACAUGCGGUGUUUGAUUUUCUGUUCUUGUGUCAGUUUGCUAAGAAUGAUGGUCUCCAGAUUCAUCCAUGUCCCUACAAACGACACAAACUCAUCGUUUUUGAUGGCUGCAUAAUAUUCCAUGGUGUGUAUGUGCCACAUUUUCCCUGUCCAGUCUAUCACCGAUGGGCAUUUGUGUUGGUUCCAGGUCUUUGCUAUUGUAAACAGUGCUGCAGUGAACAUUCAUGUGCACGUGUCCUUAUAGUAGAACGAUUUAUAGUCCUUUGGAUAUAUACCCAGUAAUAGGAUUUCUGAGUCAAAUGUAAUUUCUAUUUCUAGGUCCUUGAGGAAUUGCCACACUGUCUUCCACAAUGAUUGAACUAAUUUACACUCCCAUCAGCAGUGUAAAAGUGCUAUUUCUCCACAUCCUUUCCAGCAUCUGUUGUCUCCAGAUUUUUUAAUGAUCAACAUUCUAACUGGCGUGAGAUGGUAUCUCAAUGUGGUUUUGAUUUGCAUUUCUCUAAUGACCAUGGACACAGGGAGGGGAGCAUCACACACUGGGGUCUGUUGGGGGAAAUAGGGGAGGGACAGCAGGGGGUGGGGAGUUGGGGAGAGAGAGCAUGGGGAGAAAUGCUGGGUAUCGGUGAAGGGGAGGAAGACAGCAAAUCACACUGCCACGUGUGUACCUAUGCCACAAUCUUUCAUGUUCUUCACAUGUACCCCACAACCUAAAAUGCAAUAAAAAAAAAGAAAUAAAGGUUUUAUUGCUGGUUUUUUUUUUUUUUUUGAGAUGGAGUUUCACUCUUGUUGCCCAGGCUGGAGAGCAAUGGCACAAUCUCCACUCACUGCAACAUCCGCCUUCUGGGUUCAAGCGAUUCUUGUGCCUUAGCCUCCUGAGUAGCUAGGAUUACAGGCAUGUGCCACCAUGCACAGCUAAUUUUUGUAUUUUUAGUAGAGAGAGGGUUUCACCAUUCGUGCCAGACUGGUCUUAAAUUCCUGACCUCAAGUGAUCCACCCAUCUCAGCCUCCCAAAAUGCUGGGAUUACAGGCAUGAGCCACUGCGCCCAGCCUCUAAGUUUUAUUAUUUAUGGGCCCUGGGCAUACACAGCACUCCUGGAGGCCACACACAUAGGGAUCAUGGAGCACAGGCAGGGAGGGUGAAGAGGGGGAGGUCACUGGGAGCAUACUGGGGGAUAGGGUGUGGGUCACUGUGAGUUUGUGGGAAAAUGGCUAAAUAUCAGUUUAG